rnacentral:lncRNA from 1 species
UGUCGCUCGAGCAGUAUUUUUCACAUACCUUUUAUUUAAAUUAAGAGCCGUUAGGAAAUUUAAUUCAAUUGACACACAACAAAGUACUUCUGACGCCCAAAGUUCUGUUUGUAGGAGUUUCCUUAUGAUGCAGAAUUCUUCAAUUCUCUAACUUCACUUCAUCCAAAAAAGUGGGACUUCAUUAGACGGCUGGUGCUGAGGUCCUUGGGGAGGCAGGGACACACAAACACUCUGGCUGAGUCUGAGCAAGGAGAGCUACGCACAGGAAGCCAGGCUCAGACGCACUGUUUGCCUGGGUUCGUUUCUUUUGUUUGCUACUGUGUUUUUAAGAACAGUGCUUGGAAGAAAUUAAU